UUGCCUCAGUAACGGCGAGUGAAGCGGCAAUAGCUCAAAUUUGAAAUCUGCUCUUUGAGCCGAAUUGUAAUUUGUAGAGGAUGCUUCGGCUUACGUUUCGGUCUAAGUUCCUUGGAACAGGACGUCAUAGAGGGUGAGAAUCCCGUCUGUGGCCGAGACUUCCGCCAUGUGAAGCUCCUUCGACGAGUCGAGUUGUUUGGGAAUGCAGCUCUAAAUGGGAGGUAUAUUUCUUCUAAAGCUAAAUACCGGCCAGAGACCGAUAGCGCACAAGUAGAGUGAUCGAAAGAUGAAAAGCACUUUGGAAAGAGAGUUAAAAAGUACGUGAAAUUGUUGAAAGGGAAGCGUUUGCGACCAGACUUGCCUGCGGAUGCUCAAUCGGUCCUUCGGCCGAUGCACUCUUCCGCAGUCAGGCCAGCAUCAGUUCGAGUAGCCAGAUAAAGGCAUUGGGAAUGUGGCUCUCUUCGGGGAGUGUUAUAGCCCUUUGUGCAAUAUGGUUCAUUUGGACUGAGGCCCGCGCUUCGGCUAGGAUGCUGGCGUAAUGGUCGUAAGCGGCCCGUCUUGAAACACGGACCAAGGAGUCUAACAUCUAUGCGAGUGUUUGGGUGUCAAACCCGUGCGCGAAAUGAAAGUGAACGGAGGUGGGAACCUUUGGGUGCACCAUCGACCGAUCCUGAUGUCUUCGGAUGGAUUUGAGUAAGAGCAUAGCUGUUGGGACCCGAAAGAUGGUGAACUAUGCCUGAAUAGGGUGAAGCCAGAGGAAACUCUGGUGGAGGCUCGCAGCGGUUCUGACGUGCAAAUCGAUCGUCAAAUUUGGGUAUAGGGGCGAAAGACUAAUCGAACCAUUCUCACAAAGGCAAGCUUAAUUAAUUUAUUUUUUUAGCUGCUAGGUGGUUAAGAGGCAGCUAAAAGUGUCUGCCUAGUCCCUCCCUUCGGGGCGACACCGUCAAAUUGCGGGGACUUCCUUAGAGCCUGAACUACCGCGGCCGAUCGAAAGAUACGGUGCAGCACCAGGGUAAUGACCUCGGGGAUGGUAAAAACGUUCAGGAUUGGUUAAUCCGCAGCCAAGUCCUAAUGGCCGCCUAAAUUUUAGGCGGUACGGAUGCAGUUCACAGACUAAAUGUCGGUGGGUAUAUGUCCCUAUUUUUAGAGGGGUUUAUGCUUAAGAUAUAGUCGAUCCCCCAUGGAAACAUGGGCAGAAGGUCAAAGUUUUCUAGGCGAGUGGACAAUUCCUUUUUUUUUUUGGAAUUGUGCUUAGUAGACCCGAAACCCUCUGGGGAGUUCUUUCUCUCAAGCAAAAA
rnacentral:rRNA from 1 species